rnacentral:rRNA from 1 species
GAUGAACGCUAGCGGCAGGCUUAACACAUGCAAGUCGAGGGGCAGCAUAAUGAAGUAGCAAUACGGAAUUGAUGGCGACCGGCGCACGGGUGCGUAACGCGUAUGCAACCUACCCAUAACAGGGGGAUAACACUGAGAAAUUGGUACUAAUACCCCGAUGUCACCUUUAUGGUGCAUGCCAUAUUGGUUAAAGUUAUUCGGUACGGGAUGGGGAUGCGUCUGAUUAGGUUGUAGGCGGGGUAACGGCCCACCUAGCCGACGAUCAGUAGGGGUUCUGAGAGGAAGGUCCCCCACACUGGAACUGAGACACGGUCCAGACUCCUACGGGAGGCAGCAGUGAGGAAUAUUGGUCAAUGGGCGAGAGCCUGAACCAGCCAAGUAGCGUGCAGGAUGACGGCCCUACGGGUUGUAAACUGCUUUUANGCGGGAAUAAAGAUAUCUACGUGUAGAUAGUUGCAUGUACCGCAUGAAU